AUUUCCACUAAUGCCAAAUAGCAGGCUAGGAGCUGUUUUUCAAAAGAAGAAUGAUUGCAGAUGAUAGAUUCUCACUCUAAAAUCCCAAAGGUUCAAAUGGUAAAGUAACCCUCACAACAGCCUGGACCUGUUGAAGAAUCUUCUAUUCCAUAUCCAAAACAAACCUAACAAUUCCUCAACCCACUUGGUAAAUGGGCCAAGUGAGGAAUGUGCUGUCUCCAGAAUCCAAAUACAUCCACUAAACUUUG